rnacentral:rRNA from 1 species
UACACUCCUACGGGAGGCAGCAGUGGGGAAUAUUGCACAAUGGGCGCAAGCCUGAUGCAGCCAUGCCGCGUGUGUGAAGAAGGCCUUCGGGUUGUAAAGCACUUUCAGCGGGGAGGAAGGCGAUACGGUUAAUAACCGUGUUGAUUGACGUUACCCGCAGAAGAAGCACCGGCUAACUCCGUGCCAGCAGCCGCGGUAAUACGGAGGGUGCAAGCGUUAAUCGGAAUUACUGGGCGUAAAGCGCACGCAGGCGGUCUGUCAAGUCGGAUGUGAAAUCCCCGGGCUCAACCUGGGAACUGCAUUCGAAACUGGCAGGCUUGAGUCUUGUAGAGGGGGGUAGAAUUCCAGGUGUAGCGGUGAAAUGCGUAGAGAUCUGGAGGAAUACCGGUGGCGAAGGCGGCCCCCUGGACAAAGACUGACGCUCAGGUGCGAAAGCGUGGGGAGCAAACAGGAUUAGAAACCCGGGUAGUCCC